CCCGCCGGCGACCGGCGCACGGGUGAGUAACACGUAUGAAACCUGCCCGUAGCAGGGGGAUAAGCGGAAGAAAUUCCGUCUAAUACCGCGUAACAACCCGAGGAGGCAUCUCUGUGGGUUUAAAGGAAGCGAUUCCGGCUACGGAUGGUCAUGCGUCGCAUUAGCUUGUUGGCGGGGUAACGGCCCACCAAGGCGACGAUGCGUAGGGGUUCUGAGAGGAAGGUCCCCCACACUGGUACUGAGACACGGACCAGACUCCUACGGAAGGCAGCAG
rnacentral:rRNA from 1 species